UAUCUAGAAUCUAGAUGAGCGAAGGGAGAUAAGCGUUUGUCUACGGAAUUACUUACUAUUACUAUCACUUUAUUAACAGGCAAUAUUGCUACCUACUCAGGUAAAAAAAGAAAAGAAAAGAACAAUAAUAAUUAAGAGCUUUUAACGACUUCUAAUUUCCUCAGAUACUAUCAGCUGUAGAAACCCUGACUGUAGGCAUACAAGAAUUACAACAUUACUUCCGUUUAGAUAUUUUUUUUCAAAAUUUGCAUAUGACAUAAUAACAUACCU